UUCUUCUUUUCUCUACUGUUAUUUUUUCUCAUUUUGUUUUGCAAUCUGUACGUUUCUCUGCUUAAUCUUUCUGCUUUUCUUCUUUUUAUUUUCUCUUCCUUUUCGCUUAGUUUUCAAAGAAAUCCCAAAUAUGUUAUUUAUUUGUUUCUCCUAUUUUCGGCCUUAGCUUUUGAGUUCGUGUCAAAGUUUUCCUUCUUGAUUCCAGUUUGUCCGGUGUCUUCUAUGAUUUUUUAUUUCUAGUGAUUUUUAUUCCGAUUUUUUCUUUCUCAAUUUGGUUGAGUAUCUAAAGGUUUGUGCAUGCAUAUCAAAUUGUCAAUUAUUGCUAUGUUUUUGGAGGAUGAAUAGGUUUUGAAAUGCCUAUUAAGGAUGAAAUUGGUAGACAUGGAUAAGAUCAUUCUCUGCUUCAUAGAGGAGGGGGUUCCCAGCUAACAAGGAAGCGGGAAGAAAAAUGCAAAAUCUAUUUAGCAAAUAAAGAAACCAGAAGACUUACAUCGUCGGAUGGUGAGAUUUUAAACUCUGAAAACUAAUGAACUCAAGGUGUUCAGCGAUAUGCCUGAAACGACACAAAACUAUUUGGUAAGAAUUUCUUUUGAUCUCCUUUAUAUUAUCGAGUAAAAUAGGACUAACUUCAACUAUGCAAAAUUUUAUAUUUCUUUGAAUUGGGGAAAUUUUUCAUAUAAGUUAUACAAAUAUAGAAGGCUAAAAGGCAAUAGUAGCUUUUUGCAUUUUACUUGUUAUUUCAGUUAGAUGUGUCGCUAUUGGUAAUUGGCCAUGGUAGUAAAGUUGAGAUGGUCAAAAAGCUAUCACUGAUGAUUCUUUUUUCGUCUACCUAAUUUUUUAUUGGCCAGGUAUAGGUGUACAAGUAGUAAUGUGAAAAUAAAUUCUACUAUUCAAAAGACUUCUCUAUGCAAGUAAGGUUACAGAAAGAUAAAACUAAAUCGCUGAACUUCUAGCUUCAGGCGAUGAUGAAUAUUUUGAAGCUCUGGCAAUGAUGUUGAUGUCGGUGAGAAACAGAAUGAAAAAAUGCCGGUGAAAUAUCAAUAUGUUGUAUUUAAACCUUUCAAUAGUGAGAUCUUGGAUGCAGUAUUUACCAUAAUUCACAAGCAAGAACUGGCACUAAAAGGAACUCAAUGAAAAUAAAGAUAGGCUAUAUGAACGAAAUCCUCAAAGGGUUGAAGCUUAUGGAAAAAGAGCUUGAAACCUCAGUAGCUUUUGGCCGAGUUUGAAGCGAUUCACCAAGAUGAAAAAAAGUUCAACGAUCAUGCAUUUGAAGAAUUCCUGAAAUUUACUUGGGUAACUUUGCUAAAUGUCACAGUUAUGAGGUUAGACUUUUUUGCCACACAUUUUGAUUGGUUAA